rnacentral:rRNA from 1 species
GAUGAACGCUGGCGGCGUGCCUAAUACAUGCAAGUCGAGCGAACGGACGAGAAGCUUGCUUCUCUGAUGUUAGCGGCGGACGGGUGAGUAACACGUGGAUAACCUACCUAUAAGACUGGGAUAACUUCGGGAAACCGUAGCUAAAACCGGAUAAAUUUUUGAACGCCAUGGUUCAAAAGUGAAAGACGGUCUUGCUUUCACUGAUAGAUGGAUCCGGGCUGCAUUAGCUAGUUGGUAAGGUAACGGCUUACCAAGGCAACGAUGCAUAGCCGACCUGAGAGGGUGAUCGGCCACACUGGAACUGAGACACGGUCCAGACUCCUACGGGAGGCAGCAGUAGGGAAUCUUCCGCAAAGGGCGAAAGCCUGACGGAGCAACUCCGCGUGAGUGAUGAAGGUCUUCGGAUCGUAAAACUCUGUUAUUAGGGAAGAACAUAUGUGUAAGUAACUGUGCACAUCUUGACGGUACCUAAUCAGAAAGCCACGGCUAACUACGUG